rnacentral:rRNA from 1 species
AAUGAGCGAAAGCUUGACGCAGCGACACCGCGUGUGGGAUGACGGAUCUAGGUUUGUAAACCACUUUCAGGAGGGAAGAAAAUGACGGUACCUCCACAAGAAGCCCCGGCCAACUACGUGCCAGCAGCCGCGGUAAUACGUAGGGGGCGAGCGUUGUCCGGAUUUAUUGGGCGUAAAGAGCUCGUAGGCGGUUCAACAAGUCGGUCGUGAAAGUUCAGGGCUCAACCCUGAGAUGCGAUCGAUACUGUUGGACUAGGAUACGGUAGAGGUGAGUGGAAUUCCGAGUGUAGCGGUGAAAUGCGUAGAUAUUCGGAGGAACACCAAUUGCGAAGGCAGCUCACUGGGCCGCUAUCGACGCUGAGGAGCGAAAGCUAGGGGAGCAAACAGGAUU